UCAAUUUAUAAACACCAUUUAUAAGUGA
rnacentral:sRNA from 1 species